rnacentral:rRNA from 1 species
AGCGAACGCUGGCGGCAGGCCUAACACAUGCAAGUCGAACGAAGUCUUCGGACUUAGUGGCGGACGGGUGAGUAACACGUGGGAACGUGCCUUUAGGUUCGGAAUAACUCAGGGAAACUUGUGCUAAUACCGAAUGUGCCCUUCGGGGGAAAGAUUUAUCGCCUUUAGAGCGGGCCGAGUCUGAUUAGCUAGUUGGUGAGGUAAAGGCUCACCAAGGCUACGAUCAGUAGCUGGUCUGAGAGGAUGACCAGCCACAUUGGGACUGAGACACGGCCCAAACUCCUACGGGAGGCAGCAGUGGGGAAUCUUGCGCAAUGGGCGAAAGCCUGACGCAGCCAUGCCGCGUGGAUGAUGAAGGUCUUAGGAUUGUAAAAUCCUUUCACCGGUGAAGAUAAUGACUGUAGCCGGAGAAGAAGCCCCGGCUAACUUCGUGCCAGCAGCCGCCGUAACAC